GACGAACGCUGGCGGCGUGCUUAACACAUGCAAGUCGAACGGAAAGGCCCUGCUUUUGUGGGGUGCUCGAGUGGCGAACGGGUGAGUAACACGUGAGUAACCUGCCCUUGACUUUGGGAUAACUUCAGGAAACUGGGGCUAAUACCGGAUAGGAGCUCCUGCUGCAUGGUGGGGGUUGGAAAGUUUCGGCGGUUGGGGAUGGACUCGCGGCUUAUCAGCUUGUUGGUGGGGUAGUGGCUUACCAAGGGUUUGACGGGUAGCCGGCCUGAGAGGGUGACCGGCCACAUUGGGACUGAGAUACGGCCCAGACGCCUACGGGAGGCAGCAGUGGGGAAUAUUGCACAAUAGGCGGAAGCCUGAUGCAGCAACGCCGCGUGCGGGAUGACGGCCUUCGGGUUGUAAACCGCUUUCGCCUGUGACGAAGCGUGAGUGACGGUAAUGGGUAAAGAAGCACCGGCUAACUACGUG
rnacentral:rRNA from 1 species